rnacentral:lncRNA from 1 species
GCACAAAACGCCGAGGUUCCGGCUGCAGGUUCCCUGGUGGGGCAGUAACGUGCCAUAAGCACCACUUACGGCACUUUACUGGUGAUGGCCUUUGGAGACUGGCUUUUAGCAGUGUAUUCAGGAAGAGAAGUGGGAAAUGACCAUGGAAAUUACGCAGCUUGCGAGCUCCAGCUUCCUUUCAAAUGACUUCGCUACACAAAUUUCACUUUGCAGUAUAUCAAUAUAUAUACAGCAUCUUUCCUUGACGCUUAAAUGGACGCUGUAUUUUUCUUCUGGGAUCUCCAUGCAUAGAAAAACAAACAAAAUCUGCACACUCAGAAUGCUCAGACCUGACUGCCUCCUGCAAAAAUGAGCUAUAGGGUAACCCAAGAGAUAAUCAUCGGAGGAUAACUGCGUGUUAUCCCCAUGCAAAACCCCUAUCUGCAUUCGAAAGGGGGAGCUGCAGAAGCUGCUAACGGUCCAGAAACAUCCUGAGGACACAAAAUUUGCCUUCACAAAACUCCUAAAGAAAGAUAACGGAUGGAAACCUCAAAGAACACAAAACCCGGGUUUUCAGGGUUUUUUAGCUGCACGUGAACGAACCGAAGUACCAGAUAAAGCUCAAUUAUCCUUUAAAGCUUACCUUUUGUUGUCGUAGUUGUUUGUAAGCCACGCAGCUGUUCUCCAGAACACCACCUGCAAGAACCUGCACGCGGAGCGUUCCGUCUUUGCAGCGUCAGUAAGAAUCAAGGGCAAGAGUUUGCUGGGAGUUUCUAACUUUCAAAAUGUUCAAAGAGAGAUUCACCUGAUUGAAAAGCUGCUUUCCCAUUAUUUAGUGCAGAAAACUGAAAAAGAUAUUGUAAUUAAGCUCAGGAGAUCAAUUAGCAUGUUAAACAACCACACGCGAGAUUCAAAACGUUACUCGCGGGUCAGCCAAUAGAAGAGAGUGCUCACAGGUGGAACUUUCUAGACUUGAUGAUGGUGCAGGGACAGCUGAACCUGUGGGCCUGAGCACCCAGCUGCGAGUAAUUGCGCUACAAAUCAGGGCCUGAAUAUAAGUUCCCCCCUGGGGGGUUUGACUUUUGUUUGUUCGGAGAACUGAUCGGUGUGAAGUUGCUCCCCCGGGAUGCCGUCAAGCUACGUUUUGAGCUGGAACAAGAUUGGGAAAAAGAUGGUGGUUUGACCACGAGGAUUGCUCGAGAAUGAAGGGGGACUACUCCGAUGAGCACAUGGAGGGAUGCAAAGACGGAAGAUGCCUCAUCUGCUGGGAAAUUCAACUACAACUGAAAUAGCUCAUCAUAAGCAAUAGUGAGCAGAGUGAUUACGGUCAAAAACGCAACACAGUGAGUGAGUAAUGCAUGCAGCUCCAGCUCUUCCCUACCUCUUAUGGACGAUGGGAGGUUGAAACAGCUCAUCUUUGAGAACUUUUGUUCCUGGUUUUGGGACACUUGAAAGAGAGCAUCUCCCAGUGGCAAAGAUAAGAGCCCACGUCCUUCCUGUAUCCUGUGGCUAUGCAUUCUCAGCCACAAGAGUCAGCAAGUCCCCUUCCAGAGGGAAGCGAUUUGGACAAUAACAUCUCAGACUGAUGCUGCUAAUCUGCCCUUACCCAAGGGAAGUGGGUGAGGUCAGAAGACGGGGAAAGACUUGUCUGCUGUCAGGAUGAUGGUGAAACUGACGCAUCAAAUAGAGCUGAAUGCUGCUGUAAAGUGCCUAGGGUCCCAACCUGUGGAAAUCGAAGUCUCUGAGGAUUCCUAUGUGAUCAAAGGCUGGAUUUCACUUCUCAAAGAGUCAGCUUUUGAGCAUUCCUUUGUGGAGCUGCAAGAACAUAAAGUCAUCACAGAGAGCCUCGUUAAAAGUGUUUAAUGAGAGCAGUGUGAUCCCACAGCCCAAGGGUCAGCAUGAGAGCAAGGACAGCCCAGAAGCCUCGUCCCACCAGAGCCGGGUAUCAUCAGGAGACCCCAUUCACCGAGGGACACAUUGACUGCUGUCACCAACACCCAGACAGGCACAGGAGACAAAGCAACCCAAGAGAACUGCAGCUGGGUAACAACGCCAGUGCGAAUUUCUCAGCCCAGAACAAGCCAAGACUCACUUCUGGCCAAAAUUCCUGCACUAAUGCUAACCACCAUCUGAUUACAUGAUUUUCCUGAGAUCCUGAUGCAAGUCGUUGUCACAGAAAGGGCUCAUGUGGGCACACUGCAGCCCAGGUUCCCUGCUGCCUACCUCUGCCUCUGGUUGGUCCGGUGCCCCGAGCAGCCCCAUCACCUGUGCUCUGCUCCCUGCUGGAAAAACAUGCUCGUUUUCAAAGGUAAGGGAGUCUUGGGUUACUAGGAACACAAAUCAUUAUGAGUAAAACUGCAUUCCCAAUUUAUUGUAUUUGUUUUAUUUAUAAUUUUAUUACUUAUUCCACAUUUUCCAUAUUUUCCAUGUGUUUCGCGUCAUUCUGGUCCAUUUUGGCCUUGACAUGGAAACUUGGGCUCUUCUCCCUGCCUGAUGUGUUGAAGGCUUUAUAAACAGCCUUGCUUCAUUGUUUGCUCUGCCUGUUUCCAUCCCGCAGGUGUGUGGCUGGAGCUGUGCUUGGGACAAAUCCGAAUGCUCUCUGCCUGGGGAGCAGGAUGGGGCUGAGGGGAAGAAAAGCAGCAGUUAAUGCAGUAAGUGGUGAAAAUUAAGCAAAUUGUUCAAGUGGUGCUUUAACAAAGAACAGUUUGAGACUCCUCUGAUUUGUGGGUUCUCUUUUUCGUGUGAAAGAAAGAAGAGAGAAGGAGAUUUUUCCAUGCAGUCAACAUGUUGCAUGUGCACGGCCAGAGUUCUCGUGAACCAAAAACCAAUUCACUGACUGAGGAAACUCCUCCCCGUGUUGGUUCAUUCCCUGUGCUGCACAUCUGCUUCUGGAAGCCAUGACCCACUGCUCAUCCGCCGGGCUGACAGCACACCAAGUCCUGCCUAAAUGCAAGAACCUCAGAGCAUCAGUAGGACAUCCCACCCAGCCAAAGAACCCGGAGGAAACUUCUAAGCUUGUAUGAGUCACUCAUCAUCUCAAGCAGCAUUAGAAGGAAAUUGCCUUAGGGCACUGUCAUCACCAUUUGUGAGUAUUUGUUGACAGCAAAUGUCUGUGCUACUGUUACGAACCUCAGGCUGGGCUAGGUUUGAACCUAAGAUCACCACUUUUAGCACUUAUACAUUGGCCAGCUGGGCUGAAAAAUGGAGAAUUCAGCAUCACCAGAAGCUGGCAGUUGCCUUAAAGUUAAUGUGCAUCUGCGCAUAGCCUUUGCCAGCAACAAAUGCAGAGUGAUGGGCUUAGCUUAGUUGAGAACAAAGUAUUCUUACAUCCCAAUGAACCUGAAAAGAGGGAGGUGAAAAAAAAUACCAUUACUGAUCUGGAACUAGAUGUUAGCAGGGGACAAAACUGCAAAUAGAUAUGCACACACACACUUCUGCCAUUGUUACACAAUCUUUCACAGCUACCAACAAUCUGCACAUUAUCCCUGAGUCUAGUUCACGUUCCCAUGAUCUGAUGGCAUCACCAGGAGAGUGCUUAUGUGUUCCAGCCAGGGCAAGCAGCACAGACUGGAGGCUUCCCAGGCAAGAAUAAGGUUGAUGCGUGUGUCACCUAAAAGCCCCCCUUCCACAUAUCUCACUCUAAGACAUCUCCCUGAAUUUACUGCCUACAAACCAACUGGCAAGCAGACAUUACAGCUUUUCCUAAAAUUUAGGUGAGCAGCAGCAAGGAGGUGGCUGGGCCAUUGCCUCCCAGCUCUUCCUCCAGGCUGCUCAGCUCAGUCUGUGUAACCUCAUCAGCAUCCUAGCAAAAAGCUAUUUUUGCCUCCUAAACAAGCACAAGAAAAACCUUGGUUGAAGCAGAAUGGAAAAGAGCUUCAUGGCUUCCCUGGAGAAGGGGAAUGCAAGAUGGUGGUUGGUAGCCAUCUAUCCCAUCUGUUGGAGCCUAGACCCAGUUUUGUCUAAAGAUCCAUGGACAAAUUUGAUGUGCUCACAAAGGGUGGCUGAGAUCCUAGCAGAGCUGAAGUUGACUUCAGACCUGGCCAGCCCAAGCAGAGGACAUUGCUGUUGUUUAAAAAUGAUACUCAUUAAGAGCAGAAGUCAGGCAAUGAUCACCUUCUGUAGUUGAUAAUACUCAAGGAGGGAGAUGGUGGAAAAAUGAAACCUUGGAAAAUAAAACUUAUUUGGCACCGCUGAUUAAAACCAGUUUGUGUUUCAUUGUUAAAGGCUGUGUUUGCUCAAGGUUUAUUCAGCUCUGGUCUCUUCCAUCCACAUACGGUUUGUUUUAAUGACUGUGGAGUUAUAUGAAUCUAUUAAUUUUUUUUUCCUGAAAGUUUCAUAACAACAAUGCCUGUUUUUUUCAUACAGCACUUUACAGCCACGCAUCUGGAAAUACAUUGCAAAUAGGCAAUUAGUAUCAGCCCUAUUUUGAAGAUGGAGAUACUCAGAGUCCAAGCAAGACAGCUAUUAAAGAACGGUGCCAAAAUUAGGCCUUUUGCUUCAUCUUGACAAGCUAGAACUACAGCCUCUUGAAGACAACAGGGAUGCAUGAAAAGCAUUUCAUUUAGCUAGCAGUAACUCUGUCUCAGGUUGGACAGACAAGAGGACAGCAGCAAAGACAGACUGACUCAUGCUAAACAACAGAGGUAGGAAGAGGACUUCCAGUAAUGACAGACUUAGGCCACUGCAAGCACUUACUUCCCAAAACCAGUGCUGAGGGAUCCAUCUCCAGUGAAGGGCUGACCAUCACAGGUUCCUGUUUUCUGAUAAGAGCUUGCUGCAUUUUUCCUCUCCACGUUUUUCAGCCUUUCCAGAUCUUCCUGUUAAAGCACAGAGUUGAAAACCAAUAAGAUAAUAUUAUUUGAGGCAAAUCUCUAACCCUUUAAUCAGGCUAUGUGGGAGGCAAGAAAAUGUUAGAUGCAAGGGAAUAUUAAAUUAAUAAUACUAUGUUGAAGUUGAGAUUAGUCAGAUUCCAGAGACAUAUAAUAACUAACUGCUGCCACCUCUGAUAUGGAUGUGUGGAGGCAAUGAGCAGGCUCACAGCAAGGAAGCAGGUCCUGGGCAGGACAAUGCUGCCAGACAUACUGUGGCAGUGCACUCAGCCCUUCACAUAGCUGCUGGAUGUAAUAGAACAGCCCCUGCAAAAGCUCAGAGCAGCCUUAUCCCAAAGUGCUGCACGGUCUUCCCACCUCUCCAUCGCAUCCAGCCCAACCUGGGGUGCUGCAUCCAGGGGUGCCCAGUCCUGUCUGGUGUUCCUGGAUCCCUGCUCACAGGUGGGAUGCUCAGGAGUGUCAGUGAUGGGAGUGAAAAUGAGGUGAACAGGUAAGAAUACAGACACUAUAAAGAAGUGAAGAGUGAAGAAACAUUUGGAAGAAAAACACAAAGGAAUUAAAGAUAUCUAGAGUGAAAGAGAUGGUGAAUGGCCUGAAGGGAGUUAAUGAGAUCCAGAAAUGCAAGUUGGAGAAAUGUUGAUUUUAUUUAGCAUUAAUUGCAGGAAAGAGCCUAUAAAGUGUGGUAAAAAAAUUAUUAAGUACCACUAUGCAAUGCCAGCUUUAUGCCAGCCAUCCCUACGAAGCAGGUGUAUUAUUCCUAGUUCCCUAGGUAUAAAUAAAUAACUGCUUUUCCAUGGUUUUCUUUUUUUUUUUUCUUUUUUAAAUGAUGGCUUUUCAUUAAUUUUUACUGCCAUAUUGUUAUAGUUCUGAUUCCUCCAGAGCAGCUCUGGGGAUCAGUUGGUGCUGGAGUGUGUGUAUGCAGGUUGGUACCUGCGAGCCAUGGGGCACUGCAUGGGAGAUGCAGUGUCUGUGAUCAUAGCACCCCAGGGGUGCAGCCCUGGUCUUCUUGCCCAUGGACUAAACAUGACCUCACCCAUGGUCUGAGCUCUGACAGCAACAUCUGGGUAAAUACAGAAAGGAACCUGAUGGAAAAUGGACAGUUUGAUGGUUGAUGGACAGUUGAAGGGUGAUGCAUUUUGCAUUGAGGGCUCAUACAGCAAAGCCCAGAAGGAACAGACGGACCACGUUACCCAAGAAACCUUUCCCAAGAUUGAGGUUGCCCUGGGAAAGAACAUUCUGAGGGACAUCACCACGAUGCAAGCACUGGUAUCAUGUCAACCCAUUGGUUGUGGUGUUGGCCUCUGGUGUCAGGGACGGGGAGUUGGGCUUCCCAUGCCACCACAGCCAUCCAGCACUCCUGACUGCACACUCCAAGACAAGAAAAGAAAAGGGAAAAUAAAACCUAUGUUCCGUUCCACUUUUAACUUUCUGCUCAUGCCCAUACAUUCCUCCUGGCGUUAUUACAAACGGGCUCCAAUGUUGCCUUUGUUAAGAAUGAGAGCAGAGCACAUUUCCCCGAGCAAUGUUUGUAUCAGCAUUUUCAGGCUCCUUUUAUCGAGUCUCGCACUUCUCAGAGGAGACUCAGCGGGGAGAUGAGCUCUGGAUGCGUUUUCCUAGCAACGUCUCGCUUCAGAGAGGCCACCAAAGACGUUCAGGGAAGCAGUGAUUCCCUGGUAGUGCCUCAGUCCAAGCUCUGACCUGGAACCGUGGGCUCAGCAAAUACACAUAAAUCUUCAGCUCACGUCCAAAUCAUCGCAAGGUUCAGUGAAAAUAGCAAAACUGCCAGUGGAUCUAACCGAAGUUUUAAUCCAGCUCCAGCAUGAUUUAUGGCCUCAGGUGGAAACCAUGAAGCACGAUGGCCUCAGCCCAAGCCAGGGGACGUUCGGCUGCCCCAGCCCUAAGGUGUUGUGUUACGGCACUGAAGAAUCAAGGCUGCAAGAGGCAUGGAUGAAACUGAACAGCACAAACACAUCCCAGCAACGCCUUCAACCUCUGUGCAUCACAGGCAGAGUAAGUGCCACUGAUAGAUCACACCAGCCUCCUCCACAAGGACGGAGGGAAUUAAAAAAAUACAUAAAAAUCAAAUAAUAAUAGGAGCAAGCGACCAAUAGAGGCAUUUUUUUCUGAUUAAAAAUAGCAAUUGACAAGCUCCACCAUUUGCAACAGUGCUUCCCUAAAUGCAGUAGUGCUAUGUUUGUCAGGACAUUUAUAAUGGCUUUAUAACACAUAUUUCCCUUUCAAAAUGCUAUUCAAUAGUAGAAAACCCACAUUCCAUCCACCAAAAAAAUAAGUCUCAGUGACCCAAUUUUCUAGAGAAGAAUGAAUGUCCUCUCCCUUCUGACUCUCAUUAGCCACCUGCAUAUUGGAAAACUAACAACAAGAGCAAUCAGCACACAGCACAAGGUCCCAGUGCCAUGACCAGAAGGGCUUUUGCCCCAUCCCUGUAUCAGCACAUCCCUAGGAACCUGCAACCAAUCCCUACCCCACAGCCAUCCCACGCAUCUGCAGCACUCCAUGGCUCAGCUGAGAAUACCACGCAGCCUGAGCUGACGUGGGCCGGUGAUUUAACAUCUGCAUCCCACCCUGGUGCCAAGCCUGUCUUUUUUCCAAUACUCAGCAUCCCUCCAUGCACAUGUAAAUAUCCAAAGGGAAACACUGCAGCAGAACUUUUGACCUGCACCAUAAUCCCAGACAGGACGUUAUAGCAACACCUGCAAUGCGCUCUGGCUUUUCCAGCUGAGAGCACUGUGAUCAUGGCACUGCCGUCCCCUCGGGGCACCACAGAUGACCAUGAGCUAAUGAGCACAGUGCAGACACUCUGCAGGAUUUUUGUUCUGAGGCGAUGAGAAAUGGUUCACCAGAAUUGGAGAACCCAAGCAGAGAUGCUCAGGAAGACGUAACCAGUGCCGAAUGAGUUCAGUUCUCCUCUCGUUUUGCCUUUAUACCACAAUGUCUCUGUGCAGACAAAACCUGAGAACUGUCUUCUGAUUUUUCAGACCAGUUUCUCAUCCCUGUGACAGCAGUGUGAUGUAGAGAUCACAAAACCCAGCCAGUCCCCAGCACUCCUUACUACAGCCUCACACAUCAGCCCUCGCACAUCCAUGCUGAGGUGGGUGCUGGCAAAAGCAAAAACCUUGGUUCUCUCCCUCUCUUCCAGUGGGAAACCAGAGAGAUCCCCAGCUCUUCUCAUUGGAAAAGUGUCAGCUUGCACUGAAAGGGUUUCUGCAGGUCCUAUGUUGUAAAUGAACAAAGAUUAAAAAAAAACACAACUUUUUUUUUUCCCUAAACUCAAGUGAAAGGAAGAGUGUGACAAGGAGUCAGGAGUCUGUCUGGCGUGGAAUAUUCCUGCAGCACUCGGGGCUGUGGUUUAUUUUACUGGUGGUGACUAGUUCAAGCCACAUUUAGUCAAUAAAUAUGAGAUAUGAGGUCACCCCGCCAUUUAGCUGUUACCCUGUCUACAUAUUUCACAGCUGGGCAGUAACCUUUUAACUAGCGUCUACCUCGGUGGGGAGUCUCCAUAAAAAAAGAGCCAGGAUCCCUUGGUCGUGGUGGGGGACCCAGGCGCAGGAGCUCCACAAGGAGUUCUGAGCAGAAGGGCCUGCACCAGGCUCUGCCUUUUGCUCUCAUGCCCAUUUGCAGCGCACAGCACCCAGCUGGGCUACGUGCAGGGAUCGGGUGAUGGAGCCACAUCCCAUGUGCUGAGCUCUACAAUAAGAUCCCCCUUCUUCUACGUGGAGAUAGGCCACAUGACAAGUUUCCUGUAAUUCCCAGCUUUGGGAGCACCUAUCCAAGGUGAAUGUUUCCAAGGAGCUCAACACCUUCAAAGGGUUUGUUCUCCUCUGCCUGGGUCCACAGCUUCUCCUGUGUGCCUUUGCCUU